rnacentral:rRNA from 1 species
GACAGAGGUUGCAAACGUUGUUCGGAAUUACUGGGCGUAAAGCGCACGUAGGCGGCUUUCUAAGUCGGGGGUGAAAUCCUGGAGCUCAACUCCAGAACUGCCUUCGAUACUGGAGAGCUCGAGUCCGGGAGAGGUGAGUGGAACUGCGAGUGUAGAGGUGAAAUUCGUAGAUAUUCGCAAGAACACCAGUGGCGAAGGCGGCUCACUGGCCCGGUACUGACGCUGAGGUGCGAAAGCGUGGGGAGCAAACAGG